rnacentral:rRNA from 1 species
CGGCAAAUUGACCCCGUAACUUAGGGAUAAGGGGUGCUCAUGGAAACAUGAGCUGCAGAGAAUAGAGCCAGGCGACUGUUUAGCAAAAACACAGGUCUCUGCUAAAUCGAAAGAUGAAGUAUAGGGGCUGACACCUGCCCGGUGCUGGAAGGUUAAGGAGAUGAGAGCAAGCUUUGACCCGAAGCCCCAGUGAACGGCGGCCGUAACUAUAACGGUCCUAAGGUAGCGAAAUUCCUUGUCGGGUAAGUUCCGACCCGCACGAAUGGUGUAACGAUCUGGUUACUGUCUCAACAACCCACCCGGCGAAAUUGUAGUACCGGUGAAGAUGCCGGUUACCCGCGUCAAGACGGAAAGACCCCAUGGAGCUUUACUGCAGCCUGAUAUUGGAUUUCGGUAUUACAUGUACAGGUUAGGUGGGA